rnacentral:misc_RNA from 1 species
CCGAGUUAUACAACUCCUCAAACCCCUGUGAACAUACCUAACUUGUUGCCUCGGCGGAAUCAGCCCGCUCCGGUAAAACGGGACGGCCCGCCAGAGGACCCCUAAACUCUGUUUCUAUAUGUAACUUCCUAGUAAAACCAUAAAUAAAUCA